rnacentral:rRNA from 1 species
GAUGAACGCUGACAGAAUGCUUAACACAUGCAAGUCAAACUGUGGCGGACGGGUGAGUAACGAGUAAAGAACUUGACUCACAGGUAGGGACAACAUGUGGAAACGAAUGCUAAUAACUAAUACUGUGAGAGAGCUUUGCGUCCCAGUAGCUAGUUGGAGAGGUAACGGCUCACACAGGCGAGGAUGGGUAGCCGGCCUGAGAGUGUGAGCGGCCACAGAGUCAUUGGGACGCGGCCCUUACGCCUUCGGGGGGCAGCAGUGGAGAAUUUACGACAAAGUGCCAAAGUCUGAUCCAGCAAUUCUGUUUGCAAGACUAAGUUUUCGGAAUGUAAAGUGCUUUCAGUUGGUAAGCGGUACCGAAAUAGAAAGCCACGGCUAACUACGUGCCAGCAGCCGCGGUAAUUC